GACGAACGCUGGCGGCGUGCUUAAUACAUGCAAGUCGAACGGAAAGGCCCUGCUUUUGUGGGGUGCUCGAGUGGCGAACGGGUGAGUAACACGUGAGUAACCUGCCCUUGACUUUGGGAUAACUUCAGGAAACUGGGGCUAAUACCGGAUAGGAGCUCCUGCUGCAUGGUGGGGGUUGGAAAGUUUCGGCGGUUGGGGAUGGACUCGCGGCUUAUCAGCUUGUUGGUGGGGUAGUGGCUUACCAAGGCUUUGACGGGUAGCCGGCCUGAGAGGGUGACCGGCCACAUUGGGACUGAGAUACGGCCCAGACUCCUACGGGAGGCAGCAGUGGGGAAUAUUGCACAAUGGGCGGAAGCCUGAUGCAACAACGCCGCGUGCGGGAUGACGGCCUUCGGGUUGUAAACCGCUUUCGCCUGUGACGAAGCGUGAGUGACGGUGAUGGGUAAAGAAGCACCGGCUAACUACGUG
rnacentral:rRNA from 1 species